CCGUUGAGGUCGGGUGGUUGAAUGAGACGCUUUUCCAUUACUGAAGUCUGUCACCACAUAGAGCACGGUUUGAUGCCAGGCAGAUUUUUCCCCCGUGCUGAAGCACACGCGAGGAUGAAGCAGCGAGGUCGAGCUGUAAGUGUGUUCAUGCACUUCCUCUGUGUGACCUGUCAGAUCCAGGGUUAUUAUCGCCAAUUAAAACUAACGAGAUGACGAAAACUAGAAUUGAAGAAACAUCGUCGUUAACUGAAAGAAAAAAAAUAUAUAAUUAAAAGAAAAAAACGAUAACUAACUGAAACGUAAUAAAAUUAUAGAUAAAUAUCUCUUCAUUUUUGUUUUUGUCAAUAGCGGAUCGAUAUGAAAUUGUUUUAUUUCACUCGAGCAGUUUUACAUGAGCCAGCAGUGCUGUACGGCACCUCCCAGUUCAUCACUUCUUGUUUACAGUCGGCUUCUCAGCACCGUUCUACCUGUCAAAAUGGCGACAAAACUCAGGAGAGAGCGACAGAGUCCGAUAUGAAAUUUCUUUAAAUACAACAGAGGGAAAGACAAAAGCAAGAGCCCUGAAAACAAAUCUGAAAGUCCAUUUAAGAAGCUCACACAGACACGCUAAUCGUGAGUACCUCAACAAAGUGGCAUCUCUGAGGAGCUCCCCUGAAAAAGAAGAAACAUCUCAGCCAGGAGAACACUCCAGGAAGGAGGAGACAACAAUAAUGGACAGUUUUCAUUAGCCUCGUUUAUAUGGGUAGUUUGUCUCAAUCUGAUUGAAAUCAAUCGGAUUAAGUGAAUCUGAUUCCAUCUACAUGAACUUUAAGUAAAGACAUCCACGUUCGAUCCGCGUUUGCAUGGCCCCAGCUGAAUCCGAUUGUAUUGGUUUUUUUUUACAUGUGCAGAAGGUCGCUCUGCCACUACCUGCAAAUGUGUAAGAGAAGAAGAGGUGCACUUCCUGCUUCCUGUUUACCUGUAGAAAGAUGGAUCCGCGUCGUGUUUUGUUGGGGAAGCUUAUUGUGUUGUGGUCACAGCAGUUUUUCUGUUUGUUCGCCAUGUUUGUUUUCGUUUGGGCACGCUCAGCGUACCACUCAGCCGUAUAUGGAGCAUGGAGCGGAUUAUUAAUCGGCGUAGACUACCUUUUACAAUCUGAACCGAAAUACAAUCAGAUCCAGGUGAAUCCGAUUGGCUAAGGUGUUUAUAUGAGACAUUUUGAAUCUGAUUGACCUUUCAAUCUGAUUGUAAAUAGGAUUUUUGGACCCGUGUAAAUGGAGCUAAUGAUGACCAAAGAGCUGCUGGUUAGUUGAACACGUAGGAACGCUAUCUUUUCACUCGUGCCAGAAUUCACAUCACCUGGUGCUGCACGAGUGAAUAACCUUAUUACCAAGUAUGAAAAACUCAAACUUAUAUAAAAACUAAUAAUUCAGAAAAACUAAUUAAAACUAACUGAAUUAGUGAAAAAAAGUCCAAACGUAAUAAAACUAAACCAUUCUGAAAAAUCCCAAACUAUGAUAACCUUGGUCAGAUCCUAAUCUUCAACAAAUUACCAACAAAACUCACAGUUUUGAAUACUCAGGUCCUCCUUUAGUCGUGGAAAUACAACACUGUACUUAUUUGCUGAGGUUAAGGUUGUCAUUCAAUGGUCAGGUUACGAAGAGGGUGCCCUCUGCUGGAUCAAACAGCACAUUUUACAUUAAUUUGACAGAUUUUAGUCCAAGAGAGUUUGAAAGUGUCUGUGACAGAGCUAACAGAGCUAACACACACAUUAUUGUUCUUCCACUAUUGUUGGACUGACUGCUCGGAAAAGGGCAAAUCCUCACAUUCUAGUUCUACCUUCAGCUCUCCAUGAUUUCCAGCCCUCAUCCCUCUGUUCUCUCUCUCUCUCUCUCUCUCUCUCUCUCUCUCUCUCUCUCUCUCUCUCUCUCCUUCAGCUCCAAACCAAGCUUGAAAAGAUGCUCAGUGGUAUUGAUGUGAGUGUGCAGCCUGGGGCUCGGGGCUAUUUUGGAAAAAGGUGGAGGUAAUGUGCAGCAGAUGAAGCUUGUAGGUCAAACUGCUGGUCCGAACAACACAAAGAUUUUGAUCAGUGACCCCGCAGGCCGUGUCAGGACCGCGCUUUUCCUCUCACCUCUCGCAGAAACGACAACAGGGGAUCGGCUCGUCUUUGAUGCAUAAUGUAUUAAAGUCAGAGUGACUGUCACUCAGGUUUAGCAGCAGCCGUCUUGUCCACCUUUCAUGUAUGCUUUAAUAUUUAAUUAAUGGCAUUUAAGCGAGGCUCUCAUCUGCACACAGAGCGAGCUGGUGGAGUUUCAAUUAAUUAAUUAGGCCCUUCAUAGAUACAAGCAGCUGCAGCUAUCAGAUCUGUGACCUUCAGCCGGGAGACGGUGUCUGAACCCUUUAGUCAGCGAGGAAUUGGAUCGAGUGAUCUCCAACGCGGAGGACCUUUCCUGUAAUUAAAGUGAGUUUCAUGAAGAGUCUUAAGGGUCUCCUCCUGCAGAUGAAGAGCAUCUUAGAGUGGCUGGAUUCACACGGGUCCAAGUUUGCUGUGACCUCUGGUUUUGCACGUUGAAAUUACAAGAG